GACGAACGCUGGCGGCGUGCCUAAUACAUGCAAGUCGAACGCAGUGGGGACGGGUGAGUAACACGUGGGUAACCUCCCAUCAGAGGGGAUAACACUUGGAAACAGGUGCUAAACCGAUACUGAUGGAUGGACCCGCGGUGCAUUAGCUAGUUGGUGAGGUAACGGCUCACCAAGGCCACGAUGCAUAGCCGACCUGGGGGGGGUGUCGGCCAACAUGGGACUGGGACAAGGGCCAGACGUCUAAGGGAGGCAGCAGUAGGGAAACUUCGGCAAAUGACGAAAGUCUGACCGAGCAACGCCGCGUGAGGGAAGAAGGUUUUCGGAUCGGAAAGCUUUGUUGGUAGAGAAGCGGUAACUAACCAGAAAGGGACGGCUAACUACGUGCCAGCAGCCGCGGUAAUAC
rnacentral:rRNA from 1 species